rnacentral:tRNA from 1 species
ACUUAAGUAGUUUAAAAUAAAAUUAUGAUUUGUGGUAUCAUAGAUAUAUAAGAUUAUCUUAGGUU